ACGCCCAAGAUGCGCGCGGCCAUCUUGGCUGAUCGGGGGAUACCACGUGAGUCAGAGGAGAUGAAUGGAUGGGAAUUAUCUCAUGGAUGGGGCCAUCUCAGCUGGGUGAAUUCGAAUAUUUUCCAGUGGAUGAGAUUCAGGUGGAACUGCCCACACUGGGAAGACGAAUCACGCCAGGGGAUACUGCUCCAGCACCUACGCCUCACCAUCCUCAUCAUCCAGGAGCAGCGUAUACGACCAGACAAUGAACGGAAAAUAGAAGGCGCCAUUGCAGAGACAGUUGAAUGCGUU